CCUGAACGCUGGCGGCGUGGCUAAGACAUGCAAGUCGCACGGUGUAGCAAUACACAGUGGCGAACGGGAGAGUAAUGAAUCGCUAACGUACCCCGGACUCUGAGAUAGCUGCCCGAAAGGGCAGGUAAUAUCAGAUAAUAUAACUUACAGGCAUCUGUGAGUUCUCAAAGGUCCGCCGGUCUGGGAGCGGGCGAUUUCGUAUCAGCUAGUUGGUGAGGUAACGGCUCACCAAGGCGACGACGCGUAGCCGGACUGAGAGGUUGGCCGGCCUCAUUGGGACUGAGACACUGCCCAGACUCCUACGGGGGGCUGCAGUAACGAAUCUUCCGCAAUGCACGAAAGUGUGACGGAGCGACGCCGCGUGUGGGACGAAGCCC
rnacentral:rRNA from 1 species